UCAGUGCCCAUCAGCGGUUUCUAAGCGACAGUGUGUGUCAAUUUUAUUUCUCAAAUAGAACGUAGAGCUGUUGCGUCCUUUUUAAAUUUUCUUUCUUCUAUUCAUAACAACUUAAUCCAGAUAGUUAAUUAGUUAAAUGGGAUUACUUAUCUACUUAUUAUUUUGUGCUUUUCUGAUCACCAACACAUACGUAUGGGCACAUGCCGAAAAUGUACUGAAUGGUAAAGACAACCAAGCGACUGGUUGUGGACCAGACGAGUGUCAACAACUGCGCGAUCGUCUUGAGAUUGUAGAAGCCGCCAUACGAAGUCUUGUAACCGUUUUAGCAAGCCAAAAGAAUGAACAAAGUGUUACAAUUAAUUCAAUGAUUGUAAGCGAUCCAGCCCUGCGAGCAAUUCUUUCACCCCCCAAUGUCCAUAUUCCGGCCAACAAUGUGACACUAGCAAUUGGUGAAGCAGCGGACACUCAAGGAAAAAAUGCAGUCCAUUAUUUAAAGGGAGGAGUCAAAUGUUCUCUUGCCCACUUAGUAGACGUCAACUAUUCUGCAACAGGGAAUAUUACAGCGACCUUGGCUAAAAACAACUCGCUGCAAAUUGAAUGGACAUUGAUCUCCACGGAUUGCAUUAAAUUCAGUUCGGGAGUCUGGAUCCGAAUUUUCGACGAAGAAUCAAAUCAACAUCAGUCAUAUUCAGCCAAGACAUAUUUAGAGAUACCGAAUAAAUGUUUGAAAAGAAGGGCAAAUGCUUCCUUCUCCAUCGUUCUUCCUCCACCGUCGGUAAAGGCAUCACUUCCUAGAAAACCAAAUUCGUGCCAUUUUAAACUACCGGAUGCUCUGAUUCGAUGCUUGGCGUACACAGUUGAAGUGGUUCCAAACUAUCAGUCCCUAAUGGGGAGACCGCUACUAACAAGAAUAGUUAUUCCACCUGAAGAAGGUAAAAAGGUUACCCCGUUGUUGGAAUUCCAAGCAUUUAGCCACUCGGAUUCACUAUCUUUGAAAUGGCAAGACAAUUCUGGUUGUGCUCCGCAAAUGAGUUCCAUCAUUUUGAAAAGUUUUCCGGAUAAUGGGCAGAGCGUUUCAAAUACAAACUCAUCCGUCAAAAUCCCUCGCAGUUGUUUGCAAAAUGAUGAUGGAAAACAAAAUGAUCACUUGUUUUCGCUGACAUUGUCCAACCAACAGACGUGUCCUGUCGAAUGGAAACGUUUGGAUGCAUGUCGAAGUUACAGGGUGGACUUAACAUCCGAAUAUUCAGAGGCUUGGACCAGUGGAACGUCUUCUUUAGAAAUCUUUACUACGCAACAUGGAAUGUUCCCAGACAACCCUUUUGUGUGGUAUUGUGAAACAUCCACUUUUUAUUGUAACAGUAGCGAUUCCAAAAACCAUCAUACUUGCUGGGGUAAUCGCUACAUCUGUAGUGAGGAUACCGAUAUUGACUGUGAUUUAGGCAUUCGUAUGAACUGCGAUAAAAGGUGCGCUAAAGGAUUCCGCUGUGGACUCCAAUGCAUUUCGACUGAGCAAGUCUGCGAUGGAAAAUACGACUGUUUUGAUGGUUCAGAUGAGCAUUACGAUUGUGAUUAUGCUAGGCAUUGCAAUCAACUGACUGAAAGCUCUGGCCAUUUUUCCUCCCUAAUAAGAACUCCUGGUGUACCGGUCAAACAGCAACAUUUCCUCAGUGCAGUGCAAAAAACAAUUGUUUCCAUUGCAGUACAAGCAAACCAUACCGUGUGGUUAUCUUUCCACAAAUUCAACACCCUUACAGAACACUUCUUAAAUGUUUACGACGGGCCAUAUUCAACCAGUCCCCUUCUAAUGUCAUACAGCGGAUCUAUCAAGCCACUGUCUUUUCGCUCUUCGUCUAAUACCUUAUACGUGGAAUUCCCGUCUUAUUACUACAAUCAAAGUUAUGGCGUCGACGUCUUCUACACAAGUAUGCCGAGUACUGGAACACCAUUUAUUCCAGGAUGUGGGGGUUAUGUCUACGAUAACGGUGAGGUUUUCUCGCCAGAUUUUUUCGAUGACCUUGUUGGCGAUUGUGUUUGGUUUGUUGAAGCCCGGCAAAAUGGAUACGCUAUUUUCUUGAAGCGAAAUUAUACCAUAUCCACGAAUCAACCCAAAAUAACUGUACGUGACGGUUGGAGCUCUUCCGGAAAAGUGUUGUACGAUGAACAAGAUUCUUCUCAAAGAAGGAUGGUGGUACACUCCAUAACGCGCAAGUUAACGGUGCGAUUCCGGCCACCGACAGUGAUUGCAUAUAGAACCUACUUUUACUGGAAUGUCACUAGUGUAUCUACCACUGAAUGCGAACAAAAUCUUGUUGGAUUGUCUGGAACAAUCAAAAGCCUCAACUAUCCUGCAUUGUAUCCAAAUUCUUCAGACUGUCGUUGGGCUAUUUUUACACCACCUGAUACGAAAAUUCGAUUGUUUUUCCCAACAGUUGAAACGGAAGAAGGUUUUGACUAUGUCUGUGUGUAUGACGGACCGACAACAAGUUCUCGGCUUCUUCUAGAGAAAUCAGGAUUGGAUUCUGCUCUUUUCACAGUCACCUCAUCCACGAAUGAGAUGCUCGUCAGGUUUACGUCAGAUGAACUAAUCAGUUUCCCCGGAUUUUUGGCUAUUUACUCAAUUGUUUAAACUGAUGUUUUCCACCACAGAGAUUCAUGAAGUGACAAGUUAUAGAACAAUCAGGGAACGCAAGAAAUUCAAGAUCCAUUCGCGGAUUACAACUGCAACUUACCCGUUAAUUUUGGAUUGUUGAUGUGCUGCGGUACAAAGUUGAUUUUAUUUCGCUAGUUGCAGUAUCUGUAUUAGCAUUCGACACGUGAUUAAAGAUCAAUGAUCGUCGAGCAUCAGUUGGUAGAAAACUUUCAUUCUUCACAUGCCAGAUAAUUUCUAUGGUUUGGAUUGGGAACUGUAAAUGUUGGUAGCCAUGAAGCUUUUCUCUUUUCAUUUGGAUUUCUGUACCAUAUCUGGAGGUGAAGAGUAUCAGGCAUCCUUUUAACUUAUGAGCUACAUCAUAUUCCAGAAUAAUAAGUGGAAGUCUAUUCACUGUAACUGUGUGAGAAGUAGAGUUGCAUCUAUGAUCCACACUGUUUUGAGUACAAAUUACUCAAGAGAAUCUGCUGUAUUGAACAUGGAAGUUUUGCCUCCAGAAGAUGAAUUCCAGAACAGAACUGGGCCAGGAUCAUAUCCUUGUGAUAACCCCAAGGAUUUAGCAUUUUAUCUUCCCAGUUGCAGUGAAGAAGAAUCCUUAUGCUUUCAUUAAAAUGUUAAGAGGGCAUUAGGACCAGUUUUUGCAAUAAAGAACUGCAUUGAAGAACAGUCUAUUCAGGUUAAGUCUAAGUCAGAUUCAAAAGCGGAUCCAAAGGAUUUGACAUUAAUACAUCCAAAAUGAUAGUAUGCGUCAGCCAGUAAGCCUUGAAUGGCAAAUGAGCGCCGAACGGUUUUGGAGAUCGCUGUUUUCCCCAAUAAUGUUUUUUCCCAUGCAAUGAGUGGAUGUGAGGUUUUGGGUGGAUAAUGCUGUAAAGACUACAGAAACCGAGUAAGUUUUUUUAUCUUUGCGUUUAGUGACCAAAACGAUUACCUACAUAACAUUUUUUAAAGGUACAAGCCAUGACGACUUGUAAAGGUUUGGGGAAAUCUUUAGAGCCAAUACGAUACGAUUGUAAGGAAUUCCAACGGUGAGAUCAUUGAGUGUUUAUUGAGGCGAUGGUUUAGACCCACCUACACGGAAACUAAAGUUCGCCUCUUGAAAAAUGAGUUGAAAGUAAACAAAUUAUUCAGUGAAAAAAUAGAAACUGUAAAGCCACUCCAUCUGCAAAUCACCGAUGUAUCAUGUGAUGCAGUACCUCAAGGAACCAGUGCCUAGGGUCACCAUAAAGGGUUUUCCAACAAUUAGCCAAGCUGUCAUCAACAUUGACGAUUACCAGCUACAGCAAUGACUAUGGCUAUGACUAACAUGUGGAAAGGAAAGCAAACGGCGUAAGCGUUUCUGAGAAGAAAACAAAGUUUUCCUAUUUAUUUUGAUCCAAAAUAUCAAGGUUAAUCUGCUUCAAAUUGGCUCUGAACUAGACAACAGUUUUGGAAGUUGGUGCUUUUUCUUUUUGUUACCUUGACUGGUUGAAUUCUUAUUCAUUAACCCUUCAAACCAAAUUCACCUUCCUAAAAUUGACUUGAAAGGAUUUUGACCAUUCUGUGAAAAUCACCUAUCAAAGAUGCAAAAGCUCUAUUGGGAUUGAUGUAUCUGCCAAAUACGUUUUCAUUUGCAGUCUGUGUCCUUUCCGAAGUUUCUGUCAGAAGAAUAUGCUAGUAAUGACUUUUGAAUCGUGUAAGUUAAAUGAACAAGAAUUUGUAUGCUUAA